UACAGAGGUGGCAAGCGUUGUUCGGAAUUACUGGGCGUAAAGAGUCUGUAGGUGGUUUGUCAAGUCUUUGGUGAAAGCCCCGAGCUCAACUAGGGGAAGGCCAAAGAAACUGGCAAGCUGGAGGCUGGGAGAGGGAGGCGGAAUUUCUGGUGUAGCGGUGAAAUGCGUAGAUAUCAGAAGGAAGGCCGGUGGCGAAGGCGGCUUCCUGGAACAGUCCUGACACUGAGAGACGAAAGCGUGGGGAGCAAACAGGAUUAGAUACCUUGGUAGUCCACGCCCUAAACGAUGAGUACUAAAUGUGGAGGACUUAAACCCUCCGUGGCGCAACAUACGCAGAAAGUACCCCGCCUGGGGAGUACGGCCGCAAGGGUGAAACUCCAAGGAAUUGACGGGGGCCCGCACAAGCGGUGGUGCAUGGGGUUUAAUUUGACGCAACGCGAGGAGCCGAACCUAGGCUGGACAUGUCAUGAGUAGCGAUCCGCAAGGGGAGCGGACCGUCAAAUCGGGACUUCACACACAGGCUGCACGGCCGUUGUCACCUCGCGCCUUGAGGAGUUGGGUUCAGUUCCGCCACGAACGCCACCCUCGCCCUUUGUUGCCCUCGGGUAAAGCCGGGCACUCUAAGGGGACUGCCAGCGACAAGCCGGAGGAAGGAGAGGAUGACGUCAAGUCAUCAUGGCCUUUAUGCCCAGGGCCACACACGUGCAACAAUGGCCGGUACAGACGGAGGCCAAGCCGAGAGGCGGAGCAAACCCCAGAAAACCGGUCCCAGUUCGGAUUGCGGUCUGCAACUCGACCUCAUGAAGUCGGAAUCGCUAGUAAUCGCAGAUCAGCACGACGCGGUGAAUACGUUCCCGGGCCU
rnacentral:rRNA from 1 species